rnacentral:rRNA from 1 species
AUGCAGCAGUCGAGAAUUUUUCUCAAUGGGGGAAACCCUGAAGGAGCGACGCCGCGUGGAGGAUGAAGGCUUUCGGGUUGUAAACUCCUGUCAUUUGAGAACAAGUGGCCGAACGUAACUACUUCGGCCUUGAUAGUAUCAGAAGAGGAAGGGACGGCUAACUCUGUGCCAGCAGCCGCGGUAAUACAGAGGUCUCAAGCGUUGUUCGGAUUCAUUGGGCGUAAAGGGUGCGUAGGUGGCGCCGUAAGUCGGGUGUGAAAUUUCGGAGCUUAACUCCGAAACUGCAUUCGAUACUGCGGUGCUUGAGGGCAGGAGAGGAGACUGGAAUUUACGGUAUAGCAGUGAAAUGCGUAGAGAUCGUAAGGAAGACCAGUGGCGAAGGCGGGUCUCUGGACAGUUCCUGACACUGAGGCACGAAGGCCAGGGGAGCAAACGGGAUUAGAUACCCCGGUAGU